rnacentral:lncRNA from 1 species
UCCAUCUUGUCGAGGUACUUGAGCGUCCGGAUCAUCCCGAACACCCUGGAUCUGUAGUCCUUGACCCUUGUGACGGGGCACUCGUAGAGGUCGAGCGAGACGAGGCGGAGGUCGGCGAGCGGCGCGAGGUCGUCGACGUCCUGGAUGCGGUUGUUGCUGAGGUCGAGGUCCCGCAGCGAGGAGAGCCCCGCGGCGACGAGGUGGUCGAGGCCACCGGCGAUGCGGUUGUCGGAGAGCGUGAGCCGCGUGAGGUUCCGCAGCCGCGGGAACCCCUCGAGCGACGUGACCCCGAUGCCGGCGAUCGAGAGGUGCUCCAGGCUCUGGUGCCG